ACCUGCCCUAUGAUAAUUAUUAAAUGGCCGCGAUAUUUUGAUCGUGCAAAGGUAGCAUAAUCAUUAGUUUUUUAAUUAAGAACUGGAAUGAAAGGUUGAACGAGAAAAAAACUGUCUCAAUUUAAUUUAAUUAGAAUUUUAUUUUUAAGUAAAAAAGCUUAAAUAUUUUUAAAAGACGAGAAGACCCUAUAGAGUUUUAUAUUUAAUUAAGUUUUAAAAAAAUUUUAGUAUUUAAUUUUUUAUAAAUUAUUAAAUAUUUAGUUGGGGUGACUUAAAAAUUAAAUAAACUUUUUUUAUAGUUAAACAUUGAUAUAUGAGAAAUUGAUCCAUAAUUUAUGAUUAUAAGAUUAA
rnacentral:rRNA from 1 species